GGGACAGUGGGGCUCUAUUUUUCCUGCUUUCUUCUCCUAUUUACUGUCAUUCUCUUGGGGGUCUUCACUGUUUGAGGGUGCUGAAGCAGAUGUGCGAUUGGAAUAGUAAGAUGGGGAGAGGAGAACUCCAUGGGAAUUACUGGACUAAUAAUUAAAUUAUUACUGGACUUGUAAAUAAAAGUACUGUGGAGACUGGGUCUCGCUAGCUCUGUGGCCCUUGAUAAGCGGCAUCCUCUCCGAGCCUCAGUUUCCUCAUCUGCAGCAAUAGAAGUUUGAAUGAGAUGGUCUCUAAUGUCCCAUCCAGGUGUGGAAACUAGGAUUUGCUCCCCUUGGCUGAGCAAAUGUAGGGAGGUGAUGUCACUGAGGGGUGAUUGUGAUCAGCGCUUUAGGUAGCUGGAGGGCAGUGAUACCCCCCAGGAUGACCUCAGUUGCCUCUAGCGUCGCCCCCCCCUCCCCAAGGAUUAUUUCCGGACCAGCUGAGGGAUGCCUAAGAGGGGAGCCCUCUGGGCUAUUCCUAGGGCUGAUUCAAGCUCCUUUCCUUCCAGUUCAGUCUCUGUCAUCCCACGUUUGAUGAAGGUCCACAGCCUUGGCUCUGGCGUGAUUUUGCGUUGCAACUUGGAACAAGCCCUUCUUCCUCUACCGCCCUCAGUUUCUCCAUCUGUGCAUGCGGCAUACACACCCCGGCUCAUUUUGAGAUGUAUCUAGGACUGUGGAGAAUCUGCCAAUAGCCAGCAGGCUCAGUUUCCAUUUCAGUGCGGACUUCUCACAGGCAUAGAGAUCCUAAUUAUCAGGGACUUCAAGGCCAGAGCCUACUCCGCCCCCCCCCCCCCCACACACCAUCAAAUGGGCUUCCAAAUGGAAGCUGCAACUCGUGAAGCCCUGCAUUGUAGUGGCCCUAUGCCCAGGAGAAAAGACAACAGGCCUGGGAUCCUUCCUCCCGCCCCAGAACAUUUGUCCCUAUUCUCCCCACUCCAGCCCAGAGCCAAAUCUCAUCGUCACCCUCCCCACUCCUGCAUCCUCAGCCUGCUUCCAUACCGGUUUUGCAAAAUCUCCUGGAACUCAGGUGUUCCCUGAGUUCUUCUGGAUUAACGGGAAGAAUGUUCCUCCUCGCCCUACCCCUCCCUAACCCAGCAGUGUCCUCUCCAUCUUCUCCAACCAGAAGGCAGAGUGGCUCAGCAUAGUUUUGUUAGGGGCCUGGCCUCUGCUCUGGGGACUGUGCACUGCCAAAGGGAGCUUUCCACUGAAAUUGCCUUUCUGGUGGUGUCACCAGUUUUGAACAAAAGACUGGGGCUUAAGAGCCCCUGAGAAUCCUGCCUCUGACCCAGAGACCUAGAUUAUGACCCACUCCUGCAUGCACACACAUACUCGCAUACACACUCUUGAGAGAACCACCAUGUACUCUUGUGAUGGGGUGGUGGCAGGACACUGACCUCCUUUGGUGGGUAUUUUCCAGAAUGUAGACAUCCCAGAAAAAUGGGAAGAUUUCUCUUUUUCUCCCAAACCAUAGAAGCCCUUACCUUCUGUGGCAUCUCAGGCCACUCUUCUAUGUUAGGGAAUCCUGGAAGUGGACCAAACCUUAGAUGAAACCUUGCCUGCCUUCAGCACUGGUAUCUACAUGGGGAGACACUUUCCUAGUAUUGCAGGGGGACCUGCUGCCUGAUGCCCCAAGUCUGCCACUUUAAUUUCCACUCACAGUUGAAGGCCAGGAUAGUGCUACCUUUGCUCACACACCAUCCUCAAGCUCCAGAAUUGUGCACCUUCUCUCUGUGGAAAGGAGAGAUGCUGCAUCUUUUUAAAAAGGCUCCAUCUGUGCUUUUUCUUUAUGGGAGAGGGGAGUGAACAUUAAAAGUGAAACUAGAUUUUUCCAUUGAAAAGAUAAUUUAAUAAAAUUGUAUUUGUAACUGCAUCCCAAACAAAGAGCAAAUAAAGUAUAGAGAAGAACA